CACGUAGGGUGCGAGCGUUGUCCGGAAUUAUUGGGCGUAAAGAGCUCGUAGGCGGUGUGUCGCGUCGGCCGUGAAAACCUGGGGCUUAACUCUGGGCUUGCGGUCGAUACGGGCAGGCUGGAGUUCGGUAGGGGAGACUGGAAUUCCUGGUGUAGCGGUGAAAUGCGCAGAUAUCAGGAGGAACACCGGUGGCGAAGGCGGGUCUCUGGGCCGAUACUGACGCUGAGGAGCGAAAGCGUGGGGAGCGAACAGG
rnacentral:rRNA from 1 species